GUUUAACAGAAACACACCUGACUGGAUCGUCUACUUCAGAUCUCCAAUUGGAAGGAUACAACUUGUUCACACGCAACAGGCAUGUCUCCUACUCCACACAUCAAGAACUUGGAAGGAAAAAUGGAGGUGGAGUCGCAAUAUAUUGCAAGGAGCACAUUCCAACUCAGCCCAGGCAAUAUAUACAAAAUGUGACUGAUCUGGAGUUUGCUGUGAUCAAAUUGGAUUCCCCAAUAAAAGCAGCAGUCGUAGCUGUGUAUAGGCCACCACAGUACAGUGUUGGAGAUUUCUUGACCAACCUGAACAGUAUGCUGGAUUACCUGGACCUCACACACAACGAUCUCGUCAUCAUCUGUGGAGAUUUCAACGAGGACCUCUUACACCCUGGAAAAAAACCUAUUCUGGAGUUGUUUCAAUCUCGAGGAUACACGCAACUGAUUACAUCAGCGACGACGGAAAAGCACACACUACUUGACCACAUCUACAUUUCAAAUCCGGACUUCUGUCAUCAAUCGGGCGUGUUAGAGACCUACCACAGUUACCACAAUCCUGUGUACUGUGUAUUGCGUUUUUUUCCAUAGGUGAAUUGCCCGCUAUACCAGGUCACUGGGGCCACUGAAUCAGCAUUAACGACAACAGUGGGGCAACACCAGCCUUAGUUCCCCAGUGGCUUCUGUAUGAGUGGUGUCUUGGCCUUAAGCCAUACUGAACUGAGGUUCCAUUUAACCUCCUUUAUCGACGGCAGUGACGUUGCGGUUAUAUUGUGUUGUUCGUGUUAAUAUGAAGGUGUUGUGUCCCUGAGUUAACUAGAGUACAGCAGCAGGAAGGACGAAGGAGUAGUGUGGCAGCUCCAGGCAGGACAGGAAGUGAAGGCAGCAGAAUACAGGACUCAGUCAGGGUUAGUGUAAUAACUCCAGGGAAGACACAGACAGUGAGAGCAACAGCAGCAUUGCAGGAAGAUUUUGGAGACCAUAGCAAUCCUCUGCAACACUGGAUAUGAGUGUGCAAUAUACCAUCUAAAGGAACCGGCGAGUCAGAAUGUCUGAGAAGAUCAAGUGUGCUUCACCACUGAUGAUGAUGAGCUGGAUACCAUCUUAUGUGCUAAUUUCUUUCAAGGACGGUACCAGAUGUGUUUGGAGUUGAAGACAAUGCUGAAGACCAAAGAAGCAAUGGAAGAAGCACAUUAAAGCAAUGAGGGUGUCCAGCCUGUUUGCCAUGUCAGAUCCAGCGGCUAGAUGGCGGGAGAUGCUUCAUUAUACCCCUGAUUGCCUUUAAUCAUUAGAUGAUCGAUUAAUCAGUUUUAAUAUAUAUAUUUUUAAAUCAUCUUAUUAUAUUAAAUAAUUGGUCUCAGUUAACUAUUUCAUAUAUUAGCUUGAAUAAGAAUGUUCUUAUAAUGUGUACGCCAUGCCCGAGGAGGAUGGGUUCCCCCUGAUGAGUCUGGUUCCUCUCAAGGUUUUUUAUCUCCUUAAGAGUUUUUUCCUUGCCACCGUCGCCUCUGGCUUGCUCACUGGGGGUGUUGUGUCAAAUCCUGUGUCCCUCUCGCAUCCCUGCCGACCAGGGUUUCUAAAACAACAGUUUGCGACUCAAUUCAUAAUUUUUUUAUUAAAUCAUAGAAAUUUAAACAAAUAAAAGUAAAAUCAUGUUAUGGCUUAGUCACUUACGGUAAAGCAGUAAGCCCUGUGAUGCUGUGAUUAACAGUGCUUUCAGAACUGCUAAGGGGUGUUGUUUUCUGAAAUCACAGGGCUUAUGUAUGGCCUUAUGCCCUUUAUAAACACUUGUGCAGUAAUAGACGCAAUCAUGGACUGUAAUUGAGUAUUUUACAAUGGCUUUAAGUGCAACAUGUACAAGGUUCACUUUAUUAAUACAAUAAGUCAAACACUUUCAUCACUAUUCUGCCAAAAUAGAAACUUGAUUUUAACAAUUUUAUUGCAACAGUCAGAUAUUUGUUUUUUAUUUUCAUAAUUGUAUAAUUGUAAUAUAAAGUUAAAAUAAUAUUUAUAUGUGAGCUAGUAUGACAUUUAUAGGGUGGGAUUUGGCACAACAGGCGUUUUCUAAAUCUUUUAAUAAACAUUUUGGUUGAAUUGGCA